AUGCUAAUGGGCUGAUAUGCUAGUGUAGGCUUGGAGUUAGUAAGCCCACAAGUCCUCUAAUAUUCUCUUAGCACAUAAUACUUUAUGUUUAAUUAAUUUUUAAUUAUCUCCUUCUUGAAGCUUUCCACCGUCUCUUUCAUUGCUUUUUGCAAUGAGAGAGAGAGAGAGAGAGAGAGAGAGAGAGAGAAGGUUCAAGAGAGAGAGUGACAGAGAGCUCGAGAAGGAGCCGGUGGAAGAAGAAGAAGAAGAAGAAGAAGAAGAAGGGAAGAGGAGAGACGCAGGGGAAGAGAGAGAAUCGGAAUGGAGCUCACCCGAAGGCGAGGAACGGACUGGAACUUUGCUUCAUCAUUUUGCUAAAUCUCGAUUGAUUGCUUUGUUCAUUUCCUAAACUUUGAUUGAACUUUAUAUGAUUCGAAUUUCUCGGUUUGGGGAAAGUUUGAUUUGUUGCGAGUUUAACCAUUCUGUCAAACGUGGGAAGCUGUGGGUUUUUGGUUUGGUUCUUUCAUGGCUGUGCUAUUGAUGAAUCGGGGUUUUCUUUCUUUUUCUUUUCAUUGUCCUGUUUUUGACUUGGGGGGAAAUGAGGAAGAAAAUGAAGAACAGAGAGGGGGAGAUAGAGAGCGAGACAGAGAGAGCUAGGAGGAAAAAAAAGAAUAAAAAAAGAGGAAAACAGGAGUCUGUUAUUAACGACCUUCUUGGUCUUCGUCGAGCUCAUUCGAGCUUCUCUUUUUCUAUUGUAUGAGCUUCUAAUUGAUUUCCUAGUUUAAGCCUCAUUUACUAAAUUAUUAUUCUUGUGAAUUUAGAAGUUGGGUUAAUUGGAUUGAUAGUGAAGGGAGGGUAAAGCUUAUAGACCCAUUUAGAUUAUUGAUGUGUUGGGUACAGAUUAUUGAGCUUAGAGUUUUGAGGCACCAUUUAUACAAUUAGGUCUUUUCCUUGGUGAAUUGAAGAACGUGGUAUAAUUGAAUUGCUAAAUUGGGGAAAUUAAAAGUGGAAUUCAAAACAGAAGUUUAUGUAAUUUUAUUAGAAAAACUUAGGAGAAUUGAAUAAUUAGCUAUUAGAGUGAACUCGUGAGUUAUUUCUUAUUGAGGCCAAAAGGGUUCUGUUCGGUACCUUAUUAUUAUGAACGAAUAUUGGUAAAGGAUAUGAUUAUUGACACUAUUCUUGUGCUUAUAACCUUAUUAGUAUUCACGUAUGGGAAUUUAUAGGAACUUAUCUCAUUAGUGAUAAUAAAAAGAAAGAUGUCAAGUAGGAGACCUAUAAUUAACUCUUUUUUGUUGAUCUAAGUGCCAUUAUCUGAGCUAGUUUGGUUUUGAUAUUUAUUUUUAAGUAUGAUGAGAUUAUUUUCUUUGGAUAUUUAAGAUAUGUGGGCUGAUUUAGUGAGUUGAAUUGUUACCUCAAUAUAUACACACGUUAUGAUGGAUUAGUAAUCUUCAUAAAUUACUUAGAGUAAGAAUCUAAUAAUAAGAAUUUUGUUGUUGUCUUAUAUGGAGUGUUGGAUUGCUAGUGCUAUUGUUGUGUUUAUAUCUUAGUUUCGUUGAUCCUCCAAGGCUAUUGCGGGACGAUUUAGUAUGAGAAUUAAUGGAGAAAAUGAUUGUUAGGCAUAACUUGUUUUUCAGGUUAUACUCAUGAUUGAUAGGAGUUGAGGACAUCGAUUGUGCACCCUCAAGGUCAAGUUUGAAGAAAUAUUUUUGAGUAUACGAUGAGCUAGGAGUUAGACUAGCAGCACAGGAGAACUUUUUGGAAUAUCGGGGAUCAGCUCAGAGGACUAUGUAUGGAUUUUAAUUAUUUGAUGAGUAUUCUUUUUGUAUAGAAUGUAUUUGAAUAACGACUUGAAAUUUUUAUUUAGUUGGUUUAGUGAUGUGGUUGAGAAAGAAAAAAAAAUUACUCUCUUUCGAGAUGUAGAUAUAUAUAUAUUAGAUAUUGCUGGAUUGGUUAUAUGUUUUUGGGAGUUGUGAAAAACAGUUUUAUAGUAAUAGUUUAUGUGAUAAUAUAGGGGAAACGAUGAUGAAAUUUCAAAUCGUGACAGCUACGAUGUACUUAAAUA